AACACCUCAACUCUCACGGUUUACCCGUGAUGAGCUUGGACUUCUGGAGGUUUUGCUGGCCUGUGGUCGGCUCCUCUCAAAUCAAUCAGCUUACCAGUGUUUGGUGGCGUCAUGGGUGUGAUAACUAUCUACGCUUGUGGCCGUCUGCCAGGUAACCUUCAGCGAUGGAGGUUUGCUGGCGGCUCCACANAUGUCUCUCCCCAGCGAAGACAGCUUGUCGAAC
rnacentral:misc_RNA from 1 species